rnacentral:rRNA from 1 species
GCGGUUUGUCGCGUCUGCUGUGAAAGACCGGGGCUUAACUCCGGUUCUGCAGUGGGUACGGGCAGACUAGAGUGUGGUAGGGGAGACUGGAAUUCCUGGUGUAGCGGUGAAAUGCGCAGAUAUCAGGAGGAACACCGAUGGCGAAGGCAGGUCUCUGGGCCAUUACUGACGCUGAGAAGCGAAAGCAUGGGGAGCGAACAGGAUUAGAUACCCUGGUAGUCCAUGCCGUAAACGUUGGGCGCUAGGUGUGGGACUCAUUCCACGAGUUCCGUGCCGCAGCUAACGCAUUAAGCGCCCCGCCUGGGGAGUACGGCCGCAAGGCUAAAACUCAAAGGAAUUGACGGGGGCCCGCACAAGCGGCGGAGCAUGCGGAUUAAUUCGAUGCAACGCGAAGAACCUUACCAAGGCUUGACAUACGCCGGAAUCAUGCAGAGAUGUGUGCGUCUUCGGACUGGUGUACAGGUGGUGCAUGGUUGUCGUCAGCUCGUGUCGUGAGAUGUUGGGUUAAGUCCCGCAACGAGCGCAACCCUCGUUCCAUGUUGCCAGCACGUCAAGGUGGGGACUCAUGGGAGACUGCCGGGGUCAACUCGGAGGAAGGUGGGGAUGACGUCAAAUCAUCAUGCCCCUUAUGUCUUGGGCUUCACGCAUGCUACAAUGGCCGGUACAGAGGGUUGCGAAACCGUGAGGUGGAGCUAAUCCCAAAAAACCGGUCUCAGUUCGGAUUGGGGUCUGCAACUCGACCCCAUGAAGUCGGAGUCGCUAGUAAUCGCAGAUC